rnacentral:rRNA from 1 species
AUGGCCUUCUUCUCCAUCCACCUGACGCUCUCCCUUCUCUUCUUCUCUAUCCAGGGCAGCAAUCCCCUCUUCUAUGCCGGUGAGGAACACCACCAGAGGAUGGAUUGCGUUUUGGAGCUCCCUCUACUGUCGCUCGAUCUGGCCUCCCCCGCUCAGUUGUCGCCCCGUGCUCCGGAUCUGGCCACAACAGGCCUCACGUCCUCCAGCCGCGCGCAAGCAGGCCAAGGCCGACGCCCGACCCCACCCCCUCUCAUCCUUUCUUCCCUUUCUCUCUCUAAUCUCUCACACGUUUUCUUCAGGGAACCCGCCAAUGGAGGUCGCCGCCUCUCCGUCUCGAUCUGUCCACCGACGGAUCCACGCGCGGAGCAUCUGGAUCCGCCACGCAGACAUGGAUGGGCGCCUUGGAGCUCCCCUCUGCCGUCCCCUGAUCUGGGCAUCUGGCCGCCCGCCAGUGCUCCGAAUCCGGCAAACAACCUCGCCUCCGACCCAAUUCAGACAGACGCCACAGCCUCCUUCCACCACGUGCGCCAAGCAUGCCCCCAGGUCCGACCGAUCAUGCGCCUCUCAUCCUCGCUGUUUUUUUGUUUGAGUCAACAUCACUGCUUCUUUUUGCUCGCAGCUCGCGAGGAGGCCAUGCUCCUCGUCCAGCCGCGGCCCACCUGCUAUGUCAGUCAGCCCAGCCGCCUCGUCCCGGCCUUCUCCGCCCCCAGCUCCAGGGCCUUGUCCCGGCCUUCUCCGCACCUAGCUCCAGGCCUCAAACGACUCGCUCUUUGGAGAUCGCGGGUCCUCCGUCGAGCGAGGCCGCCGGUGGUAGUGUUCGCUCGGGCGGCGAAGGCCGGCGGUCCGGAGAGGGCUGAGGCAAACAGGACGAUGGCAGGUUAA